UCCCAGACUCCUACGGGCGGCAGCAGUGGGGCCUCUUGCACAAUGGGCGCCAGCCUGAUGCAGCCAUGCCGCGUGUAUGAAGAAGGCCUUCGGGUUGGAAAGUACUUUCAGCGGGGAGGAAGGUGUUGUGGUUAAUAACCACAGCAAUUGACGUUACCCGCAGAAGAAGCACCGGCUAACUCCGUGCCAGCAGCCGCGGUAAUACGGAGGGUGCACGCGUUAAUCGGACUUACUGGGCGUAAAGCGCACGCAGGCGGUCUUGCAAGUCGGAUGUGAAAGCCCCGGGCUCAACCGGGGAACGGCAGGCGAAACGGGCAGGCGGGAGGCGGGGAGAGGGGGGGAGAAUGCCAGGGGGAGCGGUGAAAGGCGGAGAGAGCGGGAGGAAGACCGGGGGCGAAGGCGGCCCCCGGGACAAAGACUGACGCGCAGGGGCGAAAGCGGGGGGAGCAAACAGGAGGAGAGACCCCCGUAA
rnacentral:rRNA from 1 species